UACAGAACAGGAGAGAGACCAUGAUCAAGGAGAGAAUCAGAAACUGAGUCUAUAUCAAGCCUUUAGUCUAACGACCCUCCUUGCAGAUUAUCUGCUUCUGAUAGCUUACAAAGCUACAUACGUUUGAGUUGCUAUUAUAGUUAAUGUGCACAUUAAGAUAAUGCAGAGAUGAAUGUCUGAAUCUCAGUUUUCAGUUGCAAAAGCUGAGGAAGAUAAUGAUGAAAAGCAUAAACCAUCAACUCAGGCUCUCAGCUAUCAUAAUGUUUCUCAGUCUCAAUCCGUUCAUUCAUAGCAGGAAUUCAGAGUAGUUAUACCAAGACCUAAGCUUUUACCAGGCUUACAUGUUCGAAGCACCUAAAGUUACAGCCAUAAAUGGUUCUUCCUCGGUAUGGUCUCAUGCUCAACUGACAUUAGCCUUCCACUGUGUCAUGUAAGUCUCAUUACCCAAGCAUCUGAUAUAUUAGCUUAAACCUUACUGUCUUGAAACUCUCAUGAUUCACCUAUAAUAUUUUGGUUAAUAAUUGAAGGUAAGUUAGAAUUUGUGCUGACAAAAAAAGUUAAAAUUUCUUUAUUUGGUUAUGAAGCUCUGUUUUUCUAUCCUCCAAUUCAUUUUUUGGUCUACAGAAACAGCUCUGUGGUAACAAUGCAGCCAGUAUCCGCAAUGUGUGAUUGGCAAGUUUGGGCAUACCUGCAAAUUUGUUCUUUCCAUGAGCUCUUAUUCUUCUUCCUUAAGCUACAGCCCGAUGGUUUCUUCAGUCAUUGACAUGCCCCUCACACCUUACCCUCUUGAGUCCUCAUUGCUCAGCACAUUAGCACCCUCUUGAGUCCUCAUUGCUCAGCACAUUAGCUCCAUCAUCAUCAUCCUCAGAUGAAAACGCACAGAGCUUCACUCUUCGAGCUCCAAGAAAACUCAAAACCACAACACAAGUGGUGGCUCUGAACCGUUGCUGCUGAAGUAUCUCCGUCUUCUUCUUUGACAACCAGCCUGAGCCAUUCUGAUCCUGCUGAGACCAAAAAGAAUACCCAGUUAGCAUUGAGUUUAAGACUUAGAAGCCAAAGAUACAAAGCUCAAAGGGGAGAACCUCACUCUACUUCUUCUAUUGUUCCUCUAUCGCUCUUUUCUUUUUAUCAAACUUGCAUGAACUGAGGACAUGAAAGAUGUCUAUAAACUAUAAACAUGUUUGGGACCAAGUAAGAUAGAUUGAACUAUAAUGAGUUUUUUUUAAUAUAUGAAAAAAAGAAACUAAAA